AGCAUAUCAAUAAGCGGAGGAAAAGAAACCAACAGGGAUUGCCUUAGUAACGGCGAGUGAAGCGGCAACAGCUCAAAUUUGAAAGCUGGCCCUUUUAGGGUCCGCGUUGUAAUUUGUAGAGGAUGAUUCGGCGAGGGCUCCCGCCUAAGUCCCCUGGAACGGGGCGUCAUAGAGGGUGAGAAUCCCGUAUGCGGUGGGCUGCCUUAGCCAUGUGAAUCUCCUUCGACGAGUCGAGUUGUUUGGGAAUGCAGCUCUAAAUGGGAGGUAAAUUUCUUCUAAAGCUAAAUACCGGCCAGAGACCGAUAGCGCACAAGUAGAGUGAUCGAAAGAUGAAAAGCACUUUGGAAAGAGAGUUAAAAAGUACGUGAAAUUGUUGAAAGGGAAGCGCUUGCAACCAGACUUGUCCGCAGUUGCUCAGCCGGUCUCCUGACCGGCGUACUCUUCUGCGGCCAGGCCAGCAUCAGUUCGGGCGGUCGGAUAAAGACCUCGGGAAUGUAGCUCCUCUCGGGGAGUGUUAUAGCCCGGGGUGGAAUGCGGCCAGCCUGGACUGAGGAUCUCGCUUCGGCAAGGAUGCUGGCGUAAUGGUUGUAAGCGGCCCGUCUUGAAACACGGACCAAGGAGUCUAACAUCUAUGCGAGUGUUUGGGUGUCAAACCCAUACGCGUAAUGAAAGUGAACGGAGGUGGGAACCCGCAAGGGCGCACCAUCGGCCGAUCCUGAUGUCUUCGGAUGGAUUUGAGCAAGAGCAUAGCUGUUGGGACCCGAAAGAUGGUGAACUAUGCCUGAAUAGGGUGAAGCCAGAGGAAACUCUGGUGGAGGCUCGCAGCGGUUCUGACGUGCAAAUCGAUCGUCAAAUUUGGGUAUAGGGGCGAAAGACUAAUCGAACCAUC
rnacentral:rRNA from 2 species